GGGGUUGUGGCUCAGUGGUAGAGUACUUGCCUAGCAUGUAUGAGGCACUGGGUUCGAUCCUCAGCAACACAU
rnacentral:tRNA from 1 species